AUAUAUUAUUUAUUUUUAUUUUUUUUUUUUAUAAGUUUCGUUUGGACCUGUUCCUUUGUACGAAGACUGUAUCCCUGUAUAUAAUAUAAUAUAUAUAAUAUGUUAUGAUUAUGUUAGUUGUUAUUUAUUAUAUAUAUAUUUUCCUUAUCUCUCUCUUUUUUUUUGUUUGUUUUUUUUUAUUAGUACCUAACAUUGCUAUUAUGAUGCUGUAUUACAUUGCAUUGGCUAUUAUUUGUAUGUGCGACGAAUUUUUCAACAUGGCCGCUCGCGUGUCUCUUUGCAUGGAUUGUAUUGUCACCGAAUUUCAAUAGUCAUUGUUUUGAUUAUACGUGACUUGCAUUUAUAUUCUGCUCUUUCGAUGCUGCGUCACUUACCUGGAUCGUUCCCACAACAUCAUCCGAUUCUUUGAUAUGCCUUGGAUACUUACUACGGCUGCCUUCAAUCGUCUUAUAUCUGUGGUCAUAAAGCUGGCUGUUGUACAUGGUGUUCCGCAAACAGGGAGCCAUAACCUAUUUUGCACGUAAACCUUCUCGUAUGAUGAUUACUUGUUCACAAGGUGUUCACUAUCUGUAUUAUUCGACGUACAGUGUCACACCUCCUUUUGAUUUAUCCACAAUAUAGUUAUAACAUUUAGUAACCUUGUAUUUUGCACUGAGACGAUUGAAACUAAUUUAUUCACUUAUUUUAGGUAGCUGUCGUACAUUAUGUACCACGAACAACGAUCCAUAACCUAUACUUGCACGUACACUUUCUUGUAUGUUGAUCACUUGUUCACAAGGUAACUUUCACUUUCACUAGUUAAUUAUUCAUUGAGUUAACACGUUUUAUAUUUAAACAAUAAUUGAAGCACAUAUAAUAAUUUUCCUUUUUUUUUCUUUUAUGUUUUCGCUAUCUGUGUCAUUCGACGAACAGCACUACAACAUACACUACUGCACUACGUUGCCCACUGAAAUCACUUUAUUCAUUGUUUAUUUCGAUUAUGCGCUAGUUUUAACUUGUUUAAGUGCACCGUUCGCGGAAUCCCUUUUUUACUUCAAUCUUGACGUUUUGGUUCUGCAAGAUUUCUAGCACUUUGUGUGGUCCAGUAUAUCGAUCGGAGAAUUUUCCUUUACUAGGUUCUUUUAGUAAAUAUAUCGAAUCUCCUAUUUUAAAAUCUUGAGGUUGAUUCGUCGAUCGUAAUAUUUGAUCUUAGUUUGGAUUUUAUCAAAUUUUCUCUUGCCAUUCGUUGUACGGUGUAAAUUUUAUUGAACAGAUCUUCGAGAUAUUCUGAGUAUGUUGGUUCCAUGUUCUCUUCGAUUAUUACUUCACCAGUAGGUUCUCUGGCUAGAUGUCCAAAACUAAUUCGUGCGGGGAGAAUUUCGUUCCUUUCCUUCAUUUUAGUUUUUAUUUUGCGCCAAGACGCAAGUUUACUGACAUCGAUCCAAUUAUCCAAUUGCUUGCUAAUAGCAUUCAAAAUACAAAUUUUUGAAAGUGCCGCAGCCAUAUUAACCCAAAAAUAUUUUGUAUAUAGUAUAGUGUGAUACUAUCUAUAUUUUCCUGGGGGAAUCAUAAGAUCAGCACUACCUACUAUGUUACCUACGUCAAAUAUUAGAUGUAGUAACCAAUAAAGUAUUUUUAAUCCAAUUAUAA